CCUGCCCUUAACUCUGGGAUCAGCCUGGGAAACUGGGUCUAAUACCGGAUAUGACUCCUCAUCGCAUGGUGGGGGGUGGAAAGCUUUUUGUGGUUUUGGAUGGACUCGCGGCCUAUCAGCUUGUUGGUGAGGUAAUGGCUCACCAAGGCGACGACGGGUAGCCGGCCUGAGAGGGUGACCGGCCACACUGGGACUGAGACACGGCCCAGACUCCUACGGGAGGCAGCAGUGGGGAAUAUUGCACAAUGGGCGAAAGCCUGAUGCAGCGACGCCGCGUGAGGGAUGACGGCCUUCGGGUUGUAAACCUCUUUCAGUAGGGAAGAAGCGAAAGUGACGGUACCUGCAGAAGAAGCGCCGGCUAACUACGUGCCAGCAGCCGCGGUAAUACGUAGGGCGCAAGCGUUAUCCGGAAUUAUUGGGCGUAAAGAGCUCGUAGGCGGUUUGUCGCGUCUGCUGUGAAAGACCGGGGCUCAACUCCGGUUCUGCAGUGGGUACGGGCAGACUAGAGUGAUGUAGGGGAGACUGGAAUUCCUGGUGUAGCGGUGAAAUGCGCAGAUAUCAGGAGGAACACCGAUGGCGAAGGCAGGUCUCUGGGCAUUAACUGACGCUGAGGAGCGAAAGCAUGGGGAGCGAACAGGAUUAGAUACCCUGGUAGUCCAUGCCGUAAACGUUGGGCACUAGGUGUGGGGGACAUUCCACGUUUUCCGCGCCGUAGCUAACGCAUUAAGUGCCCCGCCUGGGGAGUACGGCCGCAAGGCUAAAACUCAAAGGAAUUGACGGGGGCCCGCACAAGCGGCGGAGCAUGCGGAUUAAUUCGAUGCAACGCGAAGAACCUUACCAAGGCUUGACAUGGACCGGACCGCCGCAGAAAUGUGGUUUCCCCUUUGGGGCUGGUUCACAGGUGGUGCAUGGUUGUCGUCAGCUCGUGUCGUGAGAUGUUGGGUUAAGUCCCGCAACGAGCGCAACCCUCGUUCUAUGUUGCCAGCACGUGAUGGUGGGGACUCAUAGGAGACUGCCGGGGUCAACUCGGAGGAAGGUGGGGACGACGUCAAAUCAUCAUGCCCCUUAUGUCUUGGGCUUCACGCAUGCUACAAUGGCCGGUACAAAGGGUUGCGAUACUGUGAGGUGGAGCUAAUCCCAAAAAGCCGGUCUCAGUUCGGAUUGGGGUCUGCAACUCGACCCCAUGAA
rnacentral:rRNA from 1 species